AUUGAACGCUGGCGGCAGGCUUAACACAUGCAAGUCGAGCGGGGUGAUGGUGCUUGCACUAUCACUUAGCGGCGGACGGGUGAGUAAUGCUUAGGAAUCUGCCUAUUAGCGGGGGACAACAUUUCGAAAGGGAUGCUAAUACCGCAUACGUCCUACGGGAGAAAGCAGGGGAUCACCUGUGACCUUGCGCUAAUAGAUGAGCCUAAGUCGGAUUAGCUAGUUGGUGGGGUAAAGGCCUACCAAGGCGACGAUCUGUAGCGGGUCUGAGAGGAUGAUCCGCCACACUGGGACUGAGACACGGCCCAGACUCCUACGGGAGGCAGCAGUGGGGAAUAUUGGACAAUGGGGGGAACCCUGAUCCAGCCAUGCCGCGUGUGUGAAGAAGGCCUUAUGGUUGUAAAGCACUUUAAGCGAGGAGGAGGCUCUUUUGGUUAAUACCCAAGAUGAGUGGACGUUACUCGCAGAAUAAGCACCGGCUAACUCUGUGCCAGCCGCCGCCGUAACAC
rnacentral:rRNA from 1 species